rnacentral:rRNA from 1 species
UACCAGCACCCCGAGUUGUCGGGACGAUUAUUGGGCCUAAAGCAUCCGUAGCCUGUUCUGCAAGUCCUCCGUUAAAUCCACCCGCUUAACGGAUGGGCUGCGGGGGAUACUGCAGAGCUAGGAGGCGGGAGAGGCAAACGGUACUCAGUGGGUAGGGGUAAAAUCCUUUGAUCUACUGAAGACCACCAGUGGCGAAGGCGGUUUGCCAGAACGCGCUCGACGGUGAGGGAUGAAAGCUGGGGGAGCAAACCGGAUUAGAUACCCGGGUAGUCCCAGCUGUAAACGAUGCAGACUCGGUGAUGGGUUGGCCUCGAGCCAACCCAGUGCCGCAGGGAAGCCGUUAAGUCUGCCGCCUGGGGAGUACGGUCGCAAGACUGAAACUUAAAGGAAUUGGCGGGGGAGCACCACAAGGGGUGAAGCCUGCGGUUCAAUUGGAGUCAACGCCGGGAAUCUUACCGGGGGCGACAGCAGAGUGAAGGUCAAGCUGAAGACUUUACCAGACAAGCUGAGAGGAGGUGCAUGGCCGUCGCCAGCUCGUGCCGUGAGGUGUCCUGUUAAGUCAGGUAACGAGCGAGAUCCCUACCUCUAGUUGCUACCAUUACUCUCAGGAGUAGUGGGGCUAAUUAGAGGGACCGCCGCCGCUGAGGCGGAGGAAGGAGGGGGCUACGGCAGGUCAGUAUGCCCCGAAACCCUCGGGCCACACGCGGGCUGCAAUGGUAAGGACAAUGGGUUUCGAUUCUGAAAAGAGGAGACAAUCCCCAAACCUUACCCCAGUUAUGAUUGAGGGCUGAAACUCGCCCUCAUGAAUAUGGAAUCCCUAGUAACCGCGUGUCAACAUCGCGCGGUGAAUACGUCCCUGCUCCUUUCACA